UGUGUUAGUUGCAGCACCCCCUUAUGGACAAAAAGUCAUGACAUUUGGCUUACAUCCAAAGAACGUGGUAGUGAAUAAUUCAUUAAUUUAAGUUAUUUGGUCAUUAGGUCCAAUCACGCAGGGCUAUAGCCCCUAAUAUAGCCCUGAAUAUUUUUACCCUGAAAAUGGAGGUGUGAAUAGCAGAACGGGUAACAGAGUUGAACUUGACUUGCGAUGUCCAAGGAGAGGGGAGUAAUCAAGUGCUGCACACAAAGCUGGAGGAAGUGCACACUCAGAUGAAAAGCUCUUGUUAAAAAAAAAAAUGGGUAUUUCAAGAGGCUGGAAGAAGUGCAGACUGAAAUGAAAAUGAAAAGAAAACUCAUAAAUUAUGUAGCAUGGGUAUUAUACCAUGUAUCAAAUUAUAUUGAUGCCAAAGAAAUUACACGACUAUACAGCAACCCAAUCUAGAUAGCCAUUACACCAAUAAUAAGCCUAUGGUGAACUGACGGCCGUCUGUUGUGUAAAAAAAAAGUAAAAAGUGAAAAGUCAGGCUGGGUCAAGGUAUGCCAGGCCACUAGGAACCAGACAAACAGACACAGCUUCUGCCUGUGGUAUUAGUCUCCUUUUGUCCAUUAAUGUGCUAUUUGUUGGCAAUUCAAAUCCAUUAAUAUAGCUUAUUGCAUCAUGUGUUGAUGUGGUGUGACUCCUGUAGGCAAUCUACAGGUAUUAAAUAUGUCAAAUAAGCACAGGGUAGAUAGACAGUGAGUUGCUUCUUGCUGUGCGCGCUGCACACGUCAGGGAGUUUCAUGAUCCAUCCAUGCUCACUCUCUCACUCAGUGCAGAAUGCAGUACGAGUAAUUGUCACUUCUUCUUCAUAUUUACAUGUGGACAAAUAAAUAGUAUCUAUUUGGUGUUAAUGUGAAUCGGGUUUUUUUUUCAGACCCUUAUUUGCAUGAUUUUAAUAACUUCUGAUUAGAUGAUUAAUGCAUCUUUAUAUACUUAUGGGUUUGGACACUUAGAAAACAGGCCAAAGGCAGCAACCUUACAUUUAGCUACUUUAUAAUAAAGGUCCAGCAAAGAAUGAUUCACAUUAAAACAAAAUAAAUGUACUAUUCAUUAAUGCAGAGGUAGAAGAGGAAGAGAAAAGAAUAAAGUUGUGAUCAUUAAGUAAAAUUAUGAAUUCUCUGCAAGUAAGGGUCUAUGAUUACAUGCAAUUACAUAUAUAACUAUCUUAAUUGAUUUAUUUAUUCAUUAUUGAUAGAUCACUUCCAAUAAUGACAAGAACAGUAUUUAGUAAUACCAAUGAGCUACAUUUAUAAUUAUUACAAAAUCAUCAACAAACUAUUUGGCAAUGACAAACUAUUUGUAAAUGGCAAAAAUGCAAAUGAAAUGAAACUGUACAGUAUUUGCUCUCUUGAACCUUGAUCAAUAGGACUUAAAGAUGCAACUACAGACCUGUCAUUAACACCACUUCAUGAGACAUCACACAAUGGUAUCUAAUAUAUUUAAGGUCAUAUUAAGGAACAUUUCAGCAGUGUUAACUGUUGACUAGCUGUGAAGAUUCACGCUGGUUAAUAGUCUGGAAAUUAAGGUGAUAAAAUGUUUUUAAAAUUCUCUUGCCAAGCUUUGCUCUGUGUAUUUUCCCCACUCCCCUCCUCUUUUCCCUAUCUCAUGAUACCUUUCAUUAUAUCAAUUAUUUGUGCAUCUCGCUUAUUUAUUUCAGGGUCACGGAGAACAGUGUUGAUCUUGGCGGUGACUAGCCUGUGCAUUGUCCUGACUGGCGUGUCAGCACUCUGUCUCAUCUGGACAUGUCGUAUGUGAUGAUCAUGACAUUUCAUUCAUAGAAUAGCUCUAGGAAAAAUUUGCUUUAUGUUUUAUAGGCACCUGGUUUUGUUAUCAUCUUGAAAUUCAUUUUGAUGCAUUGUGGUCAUAUGACGGACAGGUAAAGACUCCUGUCAUUUGCACUAGUCUAGAAGCCUAGGCUAUGCACUGUGUGGUUUGAUUAACAUUGCCAACUAUAUCUCCAAAGGUCACCAGCUGGCACAUUAGCAAGCUUUUAUUGGUCAGAUGUGCUGUUGUUAGUGUUUACAAGGUUUUUGCAUGUCUCAGGAGUUUUAGACCAAAACAGAGACAGAGUAAGAUCCUAUAUGUUUUCACACUCACCUUAUGUGUAGCCUAUGUACUGGGAGGAACAUGUUAAUUUACAGACUAUUUUAUUUGUGCUUCAGAGAAUCCCCCGGACAUUAUGCCUGCACAUAGUACAAUUACAACUGUUGUAACCUACACCAUGAUCACCUCAACACCCCUGACUGUAGCUCCAGGUAAAACAAGAUUAUUUUCAUUUAUUUUCAUUUACAAAGAAGAGUUCUACUAACCUGAGGUCUGUAUUACUUGGCACAUCUUGAAGACAUCCUGAUUAAAAUUACACAGUGUAUGUUUGCAGAAGUCAGGAGUAAGUGUGGAGAAGUAUUUAAUAAGAUGCAAAAUAUGAUCAAUCCUCCAUUGAUGCUCAUUCUCAUAUGUUGUCUCUGCCACACACACACUCACACAAAACCCUCUAAAAUAUGCAGAUUUCCUCUUACAGUAUGAAGAAGCUAGUACCAUGCAUAUGACAAUUACAGUUUGACUCUGUUCAUUAAAUCUUUCAGAUGUUGACAAAAUGGAAGACAUUUUCUCUGAACAGGAUGAUGUGAGUGCACUAUGUGCAAAGUACUGUGCUAUGGAUGUAUAGCGAAAAUCAAUAGCUUUUCAUUCAGAUUAAUUUAUGGGGCCUUCAGAUAUGUUAAGCUGUGUUUAUCGCUACUGCUGUUGUUCAGUAUUGAUAUGAUGGUUGUAGUGUACCCUGUUGUGUUAUAAUCCUUAAGCAAAGUUGUUGGCUACGAGUACUUGGAUGGAUAAUGAGAGGUUUAGCUGCUGUGGGAAGUCCCCAACCAAUAGCACAAGUAAUUUAACAUCUACUAGAAAUACUGUAUUUACUAUGUGUGCCAGUAAAAGGCCAUAAACUACUUUUAUUAUAGUUUAUUAAACCUUUAGUUAAAUGUGUAGUCUUUUUUUAUCUAACCCACUUGUGCUCUCUCCCAGGCAAACCAGUAUAAUACAGUUACAUACAUCUUGGUGCAGGACCACAGGAGCCCUGUUGUCACACAACAGGACAUGACCUACAACCUUAUGCAGAUGCACUGAUACAGAUGCACAUACUGUGUAACUGGAUAUUAUCUAAAUAUAAACUGUUAACAAAUGAUUAUUUUAAAAUGUAUGUGGUUUCAGCAUUGGUUAACACACAGCAUUUAUUAUGAUUUAAAAUGCUUGUGUUGUGUUUAUAUAGUGUUUGUUUAUAGUAUGUGUAGUGUAUAAAGUAUAGCAUAUAUAGUGUUUUGGAUGCCUGCAUAUAAAGAAAAUAACUACAAUGACUAUGGUCUAUUGAGGGUUUAAUGGACACCUUAUCCAGUGAAAUUUCUGUUGUAUUUUAGCUACAAUGUAAAGAUUUCAGGAGGCAAGUUGAAUACCGGUUUGCGGGAUAUAGGCAGAUUUACUAACGGUAAAUACAUUCUUAAAUAAGCCACGGCCACAUAUGCAUGUCCCAAAAUUGCCCAAAAUUACUGUCUCUAUGAGUCCGUCUGCCAAUUAGUUGAGUAUUUUCAUCAAAUGUUACAUCAUUAGGCUAGUUAUUAUUGUUAGACUUUUAGAUAAGAAAUGUAAACUUUGGAAUGUAUUAUUUAUUUAGAAAUCCAGAUAAUGUUGCUUGGUUCUCUGUAUGUCUUAAUAAAAUGAAAUAAAAUAAAAAAAAUAAAAUCUGAAUAAAAUGGUUAUUUAAAGUGGUACUGUAAGUGUGCCGCCUCCGUCUGAAUGAACAAAAGCC
ensembl:lncRNA